rnacentral:lncRNA from 1 species
GUCAAGCUUGGAGAAACUGAAGAUUUGAAACUAGUUAAGAGUUACUUGAGUAUGUGCUCCAGCAAAAAGAAUGAGUGAAUGAAGAGAGAGGAAGAUAUAGUCUAUGGCAGUGUAAAUUUAAUUUACAAAAUUAAUAAAGGAAAGUACAAUGAUGAUGGCUCUACAGUUGAUCUAGAGAACCUAUCUACAGGUCAGAAUAAACCAGAGAAGAGUCACGUCUAGGAAGGAUGUUUGAAAUGUUACAUUAGGAGGCUGACAGCUGUUCCUUCCUGAGGUUUGGAGGUGAGAAUUAUUGACAUAACCCCAGUAUCAUGGAGCACUCCUCUCUGCAAGUGUAAAGUGCUGUGUGUUGUUUGAAGAACACUGCAUGUGCUAUCUUCCUCAGUACU